CGGCCCUCACGAGCACCAAGACUGAGCCUCUGCUCAGGUAUCUACAAUGCCCUCGGUGCUCUGCAGGCUCCAAGCACGAUCCAAGGAGCUCACAGGGAAGAAACACAGCACGAAAUGUUGCAAGGGCGCAAGAGAAACGGCCGUCAAUCUUUUUCUGGGCCUGGCACCAGCACAUCAAAAAGAAGGGAGUCGUCUGAAACGCCAAGACAGACCGUACUCAGCAAAUGCGACCCCGUGGCACAAAUGGACUUGGCAAAAAGGUAAUGCCUGCCUGUGCGAGAGACCCCAUUUUCCAGGGACCUGUCUGAAUUUGGAGAAUGAGCUCCUUGGAGACCAAAGGACCCUUCGGUACCUGCUCUCCCAUGCUGCAAGGCACGAUUCUUCCCACCUGUACUGCAAGCACACUGCAGCCCAAUGUGGGGAGAUGGGAACAAACCACGCAUUUGCGUAUUAGUCUCAUUUGAGGUUAAUGGGAAAGUGCUCGAAUGCUGCACUGAAAAUCUCAGGGUAAGACAGAACAGAACACUUCCAUCAUUAGGAGCCAUAAGGAGGCUAAGUGAUGCCCAGGAGGAAAUCGUUAUAUAAUACUUUGUCCUGAUAAAUACAGGUGAUUACUUCGGUGCAUGAUGCAUCUUAAAAGGAAAUACAAACCUUUGGUUAAGAGUCAGGCUGGUCUUCAGCACAGUCCGUGUCUGAUCGUCUGCAGGACACCGUCUGUCAUUCUACAGCCAAUAAUUAAGCUGUUCAUGUGACGAGACUGAAGCUGUGAGGUCAUUACCUCAUGCAAUUACACGUGCCUUAAAUUAAUUAUAGUCAUCAUUCUCACACAUGUGCAACAGUUCAGUCCUUUAGCUGUGUCUGAUACGACAGCAAGUGAAAACACGGCAUACGGAGGAAAAAUAAUGCAGACUUUGGUCCUCCAGUUAAAGUGGUUUGGUAGGAGAUGUUGUUGGGUUUUGAUCACACGGCCUUAUACUCAAUUCCACAUAUCUAACAAGCGGAAUUGGUUUGCACUUUGAUCACAAACACAGGGGCGCUGAGUUUCAGAACUGCUUUAUUCAUAGCUGUUCUCUAGAACUAAUCAGCAAAUAAGCCGUAUUUACUUUUGCCAUGAAAGUAUUUAUGAAGCGUUUCUCAUAUUAGAGAUGAUGAAAAUUAAGAGGAAAAAUAAAAUGCUUCUACUCUGAAGCGCUGAAGCCCUCUUGGCAAAGACUGUUUAUCCAUUACAGUGACAGGCUUAUCAAGAAGCCACAUUAAUCCUGUCCACAUAUAAGGAGCAAGAACACUGCGCUCCUGUCAUGCCUUUGCACAACGAGGAGUAGAGCUAAGACAAAUCGUGUUUCAUUAGCAAGGCCAUUACAAAUUCAGGUCUUGACCAAACAUACUGGGAUUAGGAGCCAGAACUCAGUGAGGCAUUUGCCCUCAAGAAGGCCCAAGGCAUGUAGAGAUGUAUAAAACAUACAUAAAACUCCUCUCAAAUAACUGUUCCUAAAGGAACAUACCUUCUGGGGAAGGGAGCCUGUUUGAGUGCCACUGUGCAGUUCUAAUAGCUGUAGAACCCACCCCAGCAGCUUGCCAUGCCCCUCAGCUCAGCCUUCAGACUGAAACAAAGAUCUUGAAGAUAUUCAGAUACAGUAGCAUAUUUUCUUGUUUGCUUAGUUCAUCAUAUUUGUCUCCAAAUACAGCUACCUACCUGCCUUUUGGUGAAAUAAAUCAGUUUGUUUCCCUUAAAUUCCCACCAGCGUGGAGUAGUUUAGCAAACCCCAGACACCGGGAUUCAUUUUGGAGCACUGAGCACUUUACACAGCCAUUGCAAUAAGGCACAGCUAAGGAACCCAGGCUUUGGCACCUGAUUACCGGGAACUUGCUGGCAAAUUGCAGCGGGGAGGACCUGCAACUCCUACGAAUAAAGCUGUGAAGGUCUGAAUUCUUUGAAAGUUUGAGUGAAAUCCUUAUCUGUGCUGAAACCUCACUCUUGGCUUUUGUGCUCAGCUCUUAUGUAAGGGCAGCAAAUUAGUUUAUCUUCCUUCGUGUCCUCCAGGUCAGUGACACACCGCCAUCGGGUCACGUUACUGUUUAGCUGAACGGCC
ensembl:lncRNA